rnacentral:rRNA from 1 species
UUGAUCCUGGCUCAGAUUGAACGCUGGCGGCAGGCCUAACACAUGCAAGUCGAGCGGUAGCACAGAGAGCUUGCUCUCGGGUGACGAGCGGCGGACGGGUGAGUAAUGUCUGGGAAACUGCCUGAUGGAGGGGGAUAACUACUGGAAACGGUAGCUAAUACCGCAUAAUGUCGCAAGACCAAAGUGGGGGACCUUCGGGCCUCAUGCCAUCAGAUGUGCCCAGAUGGGAUUAGCUAGUAGGUGGGGUAACGGCUCACCUAGGCGACGAUCCCUAGCUGGUCUGAGAGGAUGACCAGCCACACUGGAACUGAGACACGGUCCAGACUCCUACGGGAGGCAGCAGUGGGGAAUAUUGCACAAUGGGCGCAAGCCUGAUGCAGCCAUGCCGCGUGUGUGAAGAAGGCCUUCGGGUUGUAAAGCACUUUCAGCGGGGAGGAAGGCGUUAAGGUUAAUAACCUUGGCGAUUGACGUUACCCGCAGAAGAAGCACCGGCUAACUCCGUGCCAGCAGCCGCGGUAAUACGGAGGGUGCAAGCGUUAAUCGGAAUUACUGGGCGUAAAGCGCACGCAGGCGGUCUGUCAAGUCGGAUGUGAAAUCCCCGGGCUCAACCUGGGAACUGCAUUCGAAACUGGCAGGCUAGAGUCUUGUAGAGGGGGGUAGAAUUCCAGGUGUAGCGGUGAAAUGCGUAGAGAUCUGGAGGAAUACCGGUGGCGAAGGCGGCCCCCUGGACAAAGACUGACGCUCAGGUGCGAAAGCGUGGGGAGCAAACAGGAUUAGAUACCCUGGUAGUCCACGCCGUAAACGAUGUCGAUUUGGAGGUUGUGCCCUUGAGGCGUGGCUUCCGGAGCUAACGCGUUAAAUCGACCGCCUGGGGAGUACGGCCGCAAGGUUAAAACUCAAAUGAAUUGACGGGGGCCCGCACAAGCGGUGGAGCAUGUGGUUUAAUUCGAUGCAACGCGAAGAACCUUACCUGGUCUUGACAUCCACAGAACUUUCCAGAGAUGGAUUGGUGCCUUCGGGAACUGUGAGACAGGUGCUGCAUGGCUGUCGUCAGCUCGUGUUGUGAAAUGUUGGGUUAAGUCCCGCAACGAGCGCAACCCUUAUCCUUUGUUGCCAGCGGUUCGGCCGGGAACUCAAAGGAGACUGCCAGUGAUAAACUGGAGGAAGGUGGGGAUGACGUCAAGUCAUCAUGGCCCUUACGACCAGGGCUACACACGUGCUACAAUGGCAUAUACAAAGAGAAGCGACCUCGCGAGAGCAAGCGGACCUCAUAAAGUAUGUCGUAGUCCGGAUUGGAGUCUGCAACUCGACUCCAUGAAGUCGGAAUCGCUAGUAAUCGUAGAUCAGAAUGCUACGGUGAAUACGUUCCCGGGCCUUGUACACACCGCCCGUCACACCAUGGGAGUGGGUUGCAA